rnacentral:rRNA from 1 species
UACAGAGGUGGCAAGCGUUGUUCGGAAUUACUGGGCGUAAAGGGCGCGUAGGCGGCUUGGCAAGUGGAUGGUGAAAUCCCUCGGCUUAACCGAGGAACUGCCGUCCAAACUGCUUUGCUUGAGACCGGGAGAGGUGAGUGGAAUUCCCAGUGUAGCGGUGAAAUGCGUAGAUAUUGGGAGGAACACCAGUGGCGAAGGCGGCUCACUGGACCGGUACUGACGCUGAGGCGCGAAAGCGUGGGGAGCAAACGGG